rnacentral:pre_miRNA from 1 species
CAAAUACUCCCUUCGUCCGGAAAUACUUGUCAUCAAAAUGGAUAAAAGGAAAUGUAUCUAGACGUAUUUUAGUUUUAGAUACAUCUAUUUUUAUCCAUUUUGAUGACAAGUAUUUUCGGACGGAGGGAGUAGUAA